rnacentral:rRNA from 1 species
CCGCGGGAUUCCUGGCUCAGAACGAACGCUGGCGGCGUGGAUAAGACAUGCAAGUCGAACGCGACUUACAGCGAUAGCAAUAUCAUUGUAAGUUGAGUGGCGAAAGGGUGCGUAACACGUGGGAAUUUACCAAAAAGUGGGGAAUAGCUUGGCGAAAGCCAAAUUAAUACCGCAUGUGGUCGCAAGACCAAAGCCGGGGACCGCAAGGCCUGGCGCUUUUUGAGAAGCCCGCGGCCCAUCAGCUAGUUGGCGAGGUAAAAGCUCACCAAGGCUAUGACGGGUAGCUGGUCUGAGAGGACGACCAGCCACACUGGAACUGAGACACGGUCCAGACACCUACGGGUGGCAGCAGUCGAGAAUUUUUCACAAUGGACGAAAGUCUGAUGGAGCGACGCCGCGUGGAGGAUGAAGGUUUUCGGAUUGUAAACUCCUGUCACUGCAGAACAAGGAUAUGUUUAUGAAUAGUAAAUGUAUUUGAUGGUAUGCGGAGAGGAAGGGACGGCUAACUCUGUGCCAGCAGCCGCGGUAAGACAGAGGUCCCGAGCGUUGUUCGGAUUCAUUGGGCGUAAAGGGUGUGUAGGAGGUCGGGUAAGUCAGGUGUGAAAUCUCACAGCUUAACUGUGAAACUGCGCUUGAUACUGCUCGGCUAGAGGAUCGGAGGGGGUAUCGGAAUUUAUGGUGUAGCAGUGAAAUGCGUAGAUAUCAUAAGGAACACCGGUGGCGAAGGCGGAUACCUGGAAGAUUCCUGACUCU